UGGGGGAUAUUGCACAAUGGGCGAAAGCCUGAUGCAGCGACGCCGCGUGGGGGAUGAAGGCUUUCGGGUUGUAAACCUCUUUCGCUAUCGAACAAGGCCCGCUUAGGGUGGGUUGAGGGUAGGUGGAGAAGAAGCGCCGGCUAACUACGUGCCAGCAGCCGCGGUAAUACGUAGGGCGCGAGCGUUGUCCGGAAUUAUUGGGCGUAAAGGGCUUGUAGGCGGCUUGUUGCGCCUGCUGUGAAAACGCGGGGCUUAACUUCGCGCGUGCAGUGGGUGCGGGCAGGCUUGAGUGUGGUAGGGGUGACUGGAAUUCCAGGUGUAGCGGUGGAAUGCGCAGAUAUCUGGAGGAACACCGAUGGCGAAGGCAGGUCACUGGGCCAUUACUGACGCUGAGGAGCGAAAGCAUGGGUAGCGAACAGG
rnacentral:rRNA from 1 species